rnacentral:rRNA from 1 species
GCCAGACUCCUACGGGAGGCAGUAGUGAGGAAUAUUGGUCAAUGGGAGAGAUCCUGAACCAGCCAAGCCGCGUGAGGGAAGACGGCCCUAUGGGUUGUAAACCUCUUUUGUCGGAGAACAAAACCCGGGACGUGUCCCGGACUGCGUGUAUCCGAAGAAAAAGCAUCGGCUAACUCCGUGCCAGCAGCCGCGGUAAUACGGAGGAUGCGAGCGUUAUCCGGAUUUAUUGGGUUUAAAGGGUGCGCAGGCGGCGAGUUAAGGCAGGGGUAAAAUUUGGGGGCCCAACCCCGACAAGCCGUUGAAACUGGCUUGCUAGAGUGGGCGAGAAGUAUGCGGAAUGCGUGGUGUAGCGGUGAAAUGCAUAGAUAUCACGCAGAACUCCGAUUGCGAAGGCAGCAUACCGGCGCCCAACUGACGCUCAGGCACGAAAGCGUGGGUAUCAAACAGGAUUAGAUACCCGUGUA